UACGGAGGGUGCAAGCGUUGUCCGGAAUCACUGGGCGUAAAGGGCGCGUAGGCGGCUCAUGAAGGCUGUGGUGAAAGUCCGGGGCUCAACCUCGGAUCGGCCGUGGCGACUCGUGGGCUGGAGCACUGUAGAGGCGGGUGGAAUUCCGGGUGUAGCGGUGGAAUGCGUAGAGAUCCGGAAGAACACCGGUGGCGAAGGCGGUCUGCUGGGGUGAUGCUGACACUGAUGCGCGACAGCGUGGGGAGCAAACAGG
rnacentral:rRNA from 1 species